GACGAACGCUGGCGGCGUGCCUAAUACAUGCAAGUAGAACGCUGAAGAGAGGAGCUUGCUCUUCUUGGAUGAGUUGCGAACGGGUGAGUAACGCGUAGGUAACCUGCCUGGUAGCGGGGGAUAACUAUUGGAAACGAUAGCUAAUACCGCAUAAUAGUAGAUGUUGCAUGACAUUUGCUUAAAAGGUGCAAUUGCAUCACUACCAGAUGGACCUGCGUUGUAUUAGCUAGUUGGUGAGGUAACGGCUCACCAAGGCAACGAUACAUAGCCGACCUGAGAGGGUGAUCGGCCACACUGGGACUGAGACACGGCCCAGACUCCUACGGGAGGCAGCAGUAGGGAAUCUUCGGCAAUGGACGGAAGUCUGACCGAGCAACGCCGCGUGAGUGAAGAAGGUUUUCGGAUCGUAAAGCUCUGUUGUAAGAGAAGAACGAGUGUGAGAGUGGAAAGUUCAC
rnacentral:rRNA from 1 species